AUGAUCUCGAAGGUUUUCACAUAAACGCCCGGCUUCUAAACUGGAAGGACUGAGAGAUGACGACACGCAGUCUAAGCAAACAGAAGAAGUAACCAGUUAUGUUGGACCCGAACUCAAAACGCGGUCUCUGAUCCUUAGAAUCUCCGAGUGUCGUCAUCCCGAUACUGAUCACUGCAAAGAUUGAGACUUCUCCAAUGGAAUCCAUGGCAGAAGCAGACCCAGAACCACCGCCGCCACCAUUGCCACCACCACCGCCACCACUGUCCGACCUUAUCCUCUCCCUAGAACAAGCAACCCUUAUGGCCAAACAGCUCCCUUGCACCGCCGACCCCACUCACCUCCUCCACAUCCAUUCCUCCCUCCACCAAGCCCACCUGCACAUCUCCAAUUUUCUCUCAACACACAAAUUGCCCCAGCCCCAGCGGCAGAACUCCCUCUCCUCCGCCACCGGCAACGAGCCCAUGCAAGUCGGCGAUGGCGAUGGCGACGAUGAUUGUGAUGGCUUUGGAGAGGGGGAUUCCAGGCCCACAAUUGACAUGGUUGAGGAGCAGAUGAGGGAUUGCUUCAUCAAGAACAAGCGGCCCAAGAGGCGGCUUUCGCCUUCUGCAGCGGCCCUUGCGGAAGAGAGGCGGAUGAACGAUGAUGGAUUUGUGGGGAGUAUGAAGGGUUUUGACCCUCAUGGCUCAAAGGAGAGGGCUUUGGAGCUUGUGUACCAGUUUCAUGGCUGAGUUGGGUGGAAACAGAGCAAAAACAGGGGAAACAACAGAGGAGUUCUGUUGCGUUUUGCACUGCAAUGAAUCCGACGAUUCACAAGGACAUGAAUACAAAUGAUAUCGUCUACACAUGGGAAAGAAUCCAAAUCAUAACUCAUGUGUUGUUGGAGAAUGACUACUCUAAUCCUCGUUACAGUGUGCUGGAUACCAAUAAGGUUGAGAUGCAGUAAUUAUGCCCCUUGCUUCAUGGCAGGAACAAGUUUAUCUAGACUUUUUGCCGUGAAAUUUUUGAUAUGUUCUGAAAAGCAUGAUCUUGAGUGUGGAAUCGAAACAACCAUCGAUCUGCAGCACAAGAAAAGAUACAUCAAUCUCCAGUGCUCGUGGUAAACAGCAAUAGAUUACAGUUUUGAUGGAAUUGUUCUGUUAUGUUCUCAAUUUCAAACAAACUAAUGAUAGACUUUCUUCCCUUGUAA